AGAGGAUUCCAUUAUACUGGACUUCCGAUAUUAGCGAUCACCCAUUGACUAUUAUUAUUUUUUAAAUCACCACCAACUUAAAAUGUGUUCAAUUUGCCUGUCCGUCUAUCCGCCUGUCCAUCACACUUUAGUUUCAGUUUAGAAAUGCUUUGACCAAAUGAUUCUAUUAUUGGUUUGUUAAUAUUAUGUUACGGGUCAAUUUUGUGAUUUAUGCUGGUGGAAUAACAUCUCAGACGGAUGUGUGCCAUAAGGAAUUAAAAAAUGUCUUACAAUUGUUAGGGCCAUAUCUAUCUUGCCUUUCCAUAAGCCAGGUUGGCCCGGCUAUUGCAAUCCCAUGAAGUUCAUCAUCUGUUAACCUUAAACCAGAUGCUCCAUAGGGCACAGCUUUAUACGACAGCAGAGUUCGAACCCUGAUUAGUUGGGGCAAGUAUGGACACAACAUUCAAGCUUGAUACAGCUCUGA
rnacentral:lncRNA from 1 species